rnacentral:rRNA from 1 species
AACGAACGCUGGCGGCAUGCCUAACACAUGCAAGUCGAACGAGACCUUCGGGUCUAGUGGCGCACGGGUGCGUAACGCGUGGGAACCUGCCCUUAGGUUCGGAAUAACUCCCCGAGAGGGGUGCUAAUACCGGAUAAUGUCUUCGGACCAAAGAUUUAUCGCCUUUGGAUGGGCCCGCGUUGGAUUAGCUAGUUGGUAGGGUAAAAGCCUACCAAGGCGACGAUCCAUAGCUGGUCUGAGAGGAUGAUCAGCCACACUGGGACUGAGACACGGCCCAGACUCCGACGGGAGGCAGCAGUGGGGAAUAUUGGACAAUGGGCGAAAGCCUGAUCCAGCAAUGCCGCGUGAGUGAUGAAGGCCUUAGGGUUGUAAAGCUCUUUUACCCGGGAUGAUAAUGACAGUACCGGGAGAAUAAGCUCCGGCUAACUCCGUG